rnacentral:rRNA from 1 species
GAUGAACGCUGGCGGCGUGCCUAAUACAUGCAAGUCGAGCGAACGGACGAGAAGCUUGCUUCUCUGAUGUUAGCGGCGGCCGGGUGAGUAACACGUGGAUAACCUACCUAUAAGACUGGGAUAACUUCGGGAAACCGUAGCUAAUACCGGAUAAUAUUUUGAACCGCAUGGUUCAAAAGUGAAAGACGGUCUUGCUGUCACUUAUAGAUGGAUCCGCGCUGCAUUAGCUAGUUGGUAAGGUAACGGCUUACCAAGGCAACGAUGCAUAGCCGACCUGAGAGGGUGAUCGGCCACACUGGAACUGAGACACGGUCCAGACUCCUACGGGAGGCAGCAGUAGGGAAUCUUCCGCAAUGGGCGAAAGCCUGACGGAGCAACGCCGCGUGAGUGAUGAAGGUCUUCGGAUCGUAAAACUCUGUUAUUAGGGAAGAACAUAUGUGUAAGUAACUGUGCACAUCUUGACGGUACCUAAUCAGAAAGCCACGGCUAACUACGUG